GUUAGUGUUAUGAUAUGAGGGUAGGUUAGUGGUAUGAUAUGAGGGUAGGUUAGUGUUAUGAUAUGAGGGUAGGUUAGUGUGAGACAUGUUUGUAUGUAGUGUUAUGAUAUGAGGGUAGGUUACUGUUAUAAUAUGAGGGUAGGUUAGUGUUAUGAUAUGAGGGUAGGUUAGUGUUAUGAUAUGAGGGUUGGUUAGUGUUAUGAUAUGAGGGUAGGUUAGUGUUGUGAUAUGAGGGUAGGUUAGUGUUAUGAUAUGAGGGUAGGUUAGUGUUAGACAUGUCUGUAUGUAGUGUUAUGAUAUGAGGGUAGGUUAGUGUUAUGAUAUGAGGUUAGGUUAGUGUUAUGAUAUGAGGGUAGGUUAGUGUUAGACAUGUCUGUAUGUAGUGUUAUGAUAUGAGGGUAGGUUAGUGUUAUGAUAUGAGGGUAGGUUAGUGUUGUGAUAUGAGGGUAGGUUAGUGUUAUGAUAUGAGCGUAGGUUAGUGUUAUGAUAUGAGGGUAGGUUAGUGUUAUUAUAUGUCUGUGUGUAGUGUUAUGAUAUGAGGGUAGGUUAGUGUUAUGAUAUGAGGG
ensembl:lncRNA